rnacentral:rRNA from 1 species
CCGGGCUACUCCUACGGGAGGCAGCAGUGGGGAAUAUUGCACAAUGGGCGCAAGCCUGAUGCAGCCAUGCCGCGUGUAUGAAGAAGGCCUUCGGGUUGUAAAGUACUUUCAGCGGGGAGGAAGGCGAUAAGGUUAAUAACCUUGUCGAUUGACGUUACCCGAGAAAGAAGCACCGGCUAACUCCGUGCCAGCAGCCGCGGUAAUUGCCCAUGGG